ACAACGCUGCCGACAUACUCAUACUCGCCGACCUGCACAGCGCCGAUCAGCUCAAGGCGCAGGCUAUCGACUUUAUCAACACGCACGCGACCGAAGUGAUGGACACGCAGGGCUGGAAGUCGAUGAUCACGUCGCAUCCGCACCUAAUAGCAGAGGCGUUUCGCGCGCUAGCCACCCAACAGAUACCACCCAUCGGACCGCCCCGCAAGCGCGUCAAACAGAGCUGAAAGCAGUCCUAAAGCCGCAGCCGCAGUCCUAAAGCCGCAGCCGCAGUGCGCGUUUCCAAAACUGUCCGCAAGGGCGCGUGACCCGACCGUCACCGCCUCUCUCUCACUCUCUCUCUCUCUCCUCAAUCGUACCAAAAUCAAUCAAAAAGAGCGAGUGCGCGAGACAGUACACAAACUGAAUCUUCUCCUCAUCUACUACUAUAGUUAAUAUAUACAACCCCACAUCUGUGUUUAAUUAUGUUCCGUAACACCAUGAAGCGAUAAACAACAAAAACAAUCAAUCACUAGAUACCUAAAAUACUUGGAAAACAACAACUGAAAAUUGUCCUAUUUUUAUAAAAUGUACAUUACGGUUUAUUAAGAUAUUGUAUUUGCAUAUAUUUAUUGAUGGACCAAUAUAAAUGUGUAACUGAUAUUCGAAGGGUGUGUGCGUGCGUGCGUGCGUGUGUUAUGUGUGUAUGUGCUGGUCUACUAUUAAAGAAGCUGUUUCACUUUGAGAGUGUGUUGAGUUGAGUCGCGUUGCAUUUCGGGUUGCGCUUAUCAUUGAAACAAUUUAUGUUAGAAACGAAUUACGAAAAUUACUUAAAAGCGAGUAUUUAUUAUUUGUAUUAUCUUCUUCUCUUCCAAAAAAUCUCUUGAUAUUUUUUUGUGAUCUCAGUAGUUUUUUACACAAGAUGUUCAUCAAUGAUGUGUUAUUGCAGAAGAGAGAAUCGUUUUCAAUAUUUUCGUGCCCACUCUAUCUAAUUUGUUUUGUGUUUGUAUAAAACUUGGGAAUCCCAUGAUAUGAAAAUUAUAUUGCAUUAAUCAUUGAAAACAGUUAUAAUUUCUCCUCGAUUCGAGGUGUAGUAUGAAUAUUUUUUUGUUAUCAUUGGAACUUACAUCGUAGACAUCAGCGUUAUUUCAUUAAAAUUAUACAUGUGAAGUUCAUAUUUACGUUUCUUUGAGUGAAAAAUUAAUUUAAUCCCGUUUUUAUACAGAAUCACUACUUGAACAGAAUUUUGGAAAAUUUAUUAAAUACGGCUACUGGUCGCCAACUCCAUUAAUUCUUUCCAACUACUGAUUACAUCUUUGUGAUAUCAUAGAAUAAAUUAUUCCAUUUAGGAUGUUAUACUUCAAAAAUGUUUGCUUUUCAUCUGCCACACAAGUAAUCAUGUUAGAAGUUUGUUCAAUUUCUCUUCCAUUGGAUUCCAAAGUUCAAGUUGAUUUUAAUCCUACUGUAUAAGCAUAACCUAUAAGAUAAUGUAUCUCGUUCUAAUAAUUUUCCAAAUUCAAUCGCGAUGUUGCAUGCUUGAUAUUUCGAUCAUACUUAGAUCUCUGCAAUCAGAACAUUAUGUUUUCAGUUCCUUUUUGUGUUGGCUUCAUAGCUAGUUCGAUUUCUAAACGGGCUUUUUUAUUCUUCUUUGCCAUAUCACUGUGAUAAUUUUUCGAGUUCCAUUUAGUUAAUAAAUUUGCUUUUAUUAACUCCAUUUCAACUAACACAGGCGUUUGUGUCUUAUGAUCGAUUAUAUAAUAUAUAUUAUAUGCAUGCUGAUAUUAUGUGGAUCGGUCUUCCGUAUGUUUAUUAUAAAGGUAUGAAAUCUUUAGUUUGAUGGUAAUUUGUUCUGUCGAGAAACUUAUUUUUAUUGCGCUUUGAUAUUAAUCAUUGAUUUUUUCGCGUACGCUCUUAGAAAACAUUUAAGAUGAUCUCAAUCGAAAACAGUAGUAAUAAAACCUAACUAAUUAUAAUAAAAUCAAACCGACCCUUGAACAGAUUGAGGUGUAUUGGAGAAAUGAUAUUAUUGUUAAGAGUGACUGUCAAUGAUAUUAUAAUCUAGCUAUUCGGUGGAUUAAGAGUCAAACAAUAGUAAUGUUGUAUGUAAAAAUGAUAAUUGUUGAAAUUAUGAUUGGAAGGGAAGACGGUGUAUUGUAUUGUGAUAUAAUCUGUUUGGUCGAAUCGGAAGGUAUUAUUAUGAUAACUACUGUCUUUUAACUGUUACUCAAUUUUAACGAGCGAAUUGAACUGUAUAUUAGUCUGCAUGCUGUUAUCUAUUGAACUAUUAACAAUAAUUAAUGUAAGCUAAAUUAACCGAGACGGAGAAAGUCGAUCGAUGUGUUCAUAUAUAAAACAAUUUGGCUGUCGUAAAUUAUUGUCGUUCUUGGCGCUUAUCUCUUUCUAUCUAUUUAUCUAUCUGUCCCUUUUCUCCACACUUCCUAAUCAUCAGUCUUCAAAGGUGGUAGGAGGUUGAUUGCUCAUCAAUGUUCACGGCCACCUUGAUCUAACAAACUUACUUCUUUCCACAUCCUCCCCUUCCUUCAGCAUUCCCCCCCACUCUGGGAGCCUAAAUAAAUUAUAGUAGUUGCAAACUGAAAAUAAUUAUAAUAGUGUUGUGUUAAGUCAAGUACAAGAAAAUACAAUUGUUACCUCAAACCUAGAUUAAUAUUGCUUACUACUCGAUAUUGUUGGUUUAAUUUCUACUACAUUUUAAUAUUUGAUAAAUUGUUUAAGCUUAGUAUUGAUUGAUUUUCUAAAUGAGUUAUUAUUAUAGUUAUUUUUACGAUUGUGUUAUUGCAAAUGAUUUUAUAGUUGUAAAGGUAUCGUAUCUACUACAGUUUUCCCAUAUUAAUGUUUGGUUAAAUUUCAAGUGUAAUGUUUGAAAAUUCCAGUUUUCACUAAAAAAUUGAUAAAUUAUCAAAAAAUGGAAACCCUCUUUAAAUUUGUUAAUAUUUAAUUAAAGUAAAGAUCAUCGAUUAAAAAUAUUUAAUAUAUUUGCAUUUAAUUAUUUUUGUGGUUGUUAUUGCUUUAGAAAUUUUGCACUUUAUGUUGUAACUGGAAAUUGUUCUGCGAACUAGACGUUGAUAGUGCUCCUCUAGUGAUUCUUUGGGAACAAGUGUUAUCUUGUAUGCUUGUGGAACGACCUAACAACAACUAUAAAACUCUUGUGAGUGGAGAUUAUGAUGUUGAUGAAUGUGAUGACGUCACUGAGGGGCAUUUUAAGUAGAAGAGAACUGUUUCUAUAGCGCUGUAAUCAUACUCGUCACCAUCCCCCACCUAGCUGACUGGCAGUUUUGUUGCUGGAGAACAAAAUGUCAGAUGUCUUUCUAUGAAUAACUCUAUAUUAUAAUAAAUAUCGUGAAUAGUUCUCCCAAUAGAUCGUGAUCUAUCAUUGUAGAAUAAGUAUAAUUGACUUUGUUAUGAAUAAUAUUGUAUGUAAAUGGUCCCAGCAAUCUUGUCAUUAUGUUAAAUCGAUAAAGUCGUAAAAACAAUAAUCAUGAUUGUUUAAUUGUAAAUAACGUUUUAAUAAUGUCGGGAUUUAUAUACUAUUAUUAUGUAUUUUUAAGUCUUUUUUUAAUUAUUAGUUACAUUACAACUGUGAUGCUAUUGAAACGAUGUCUCGACUGUAGCCACUGUUUUUGUUCAAUAGAUAUUUUGCUUUAUGCCAUUUUAAUUCACGAGUUUGUAGCUAACUAGAAAAUAACAUUGUGACCAAUAGUAAACCGAUGGUUUUAGUUUGAUUUUUCCGUUGGUGAAAUAUUGUUCAUAGCUGGCAAGUUGUCGAAUAUAUCUUAUAAAUGAUGCAGUCGAGCUCUUAGCACUUAGUGUUUUAUUAUUCCAUUAAGAAAUUUAAUAAAAGUAAUAAU
rnacentral:lncRNA from 1 species